rnacentral:lncRNA from 1 species
GAGAGAGAUCCUUUCAGGGUGCCGUUGCUGAAUGAAUGUAAUAGAAUUUACUUAUACCAAUUUGAGAGAGUGAGAGAUAGUCAAUGAUAAUGAAAAAAGCACAAAGAGAAAAGCUAAUGGAUGAUGAAGGCAAAAGAGGAUUGAGAAAAAAGGGAUGUGGUUGGGGAGUUGGCCGGUGUGGGUAGUGUUGGCACCUUUCUUUUUAUUUCUUUUUAUUUGUUUAAUUUUUUUUUAUUUUGGUUUCACUUGGACCAAAACCCCAAACAGCCUUGCGCGCUGCAGCCUGCGCAAAGAGCUGCUGCCUGGAGCUUCUUUCGAGCAAAUAAUCGAACUGCUGGUGGGCAGUAGAAGAAGGGCAUUUCCAGCUUCUCAAAGUGAUUUUCCCCUCUGUAGAUCAGCCAGUGGGUGCAAGAGGUACUGACCUGUGAUCACUAGAGGAUUAGGAUAGAAUAUUAGUGUAAGGAAACUCAGAUUCAUCAAAAGUAACAUUGCUUGAAAUAUACGCUCGCCCAGAGAUUGGUUCAAAGCACUUGUACCCCUUGCAGUGAUUGUCAUACCCGAG